GAAGUACUCCCCCGUCCCAAAAUUCUUGUGUUAAAUUUGUCUAAAUACGGAUAAACCAAGUCAUGUUUUAAUAUUAGAUACAUCCGUAUCUAAACAAAUUUAAGACAAGAAUUUUGGGACGGAGGGAGUACUAC
rfam:Triticum aestivum genome assembly, contig: Triticum_aestivum_CS42_TGACv1_scaffold_328661_4BS